AAGUACCACUCAGCCGUUUCAUGUGAUGGCACCAUUUAAUAUGCAGUGGAGAAACAGGCUACCGAGAAGAAGCUAAGGUACCAGAGCUGGUCUUGGAGCCAGGGAAACCCGGGUUCAACUUCUACCUUUGAUAGGAACUGCCUGCGUGACCUUGAGCAAAUAAUUUAAUUUCUUAAAGUUCCUAGACAACUCCAAGAGCAGUUAUCCUGGAUUUGUACUGGCACAGGAAAUUCCUUCUUGGCAGCUCUUUAAUCACAGAUUUGGCCAUUAUUAAUUACUAAUAACCCUAAUGAAAACUAAGAGAAGCGCUACUCUAACAUGGACAGACACGACUUGUUCCGACGGAGAACUCUGGACAAAAACUGAGGCUGGAGUUUGGCGCAAAACAAAGCAACAACAACUGCUAUACCAGGAGAACGUGAACCAUGGAAACAUUUUCCAUCUAUAUCCUAUGAGGCACUUUGAGGCACAUGAGGGAAGAAUAUGGAGGCCUGUCCCAUCCAAUCAGCCCCUUGAAGACCCUAGGACUCAGUCCUUGGGCUGCUCAGGUGAAAGGGCUGUCAACCUGGAAGGGGCAGAACUCUUCCCUUCUCUCUGAAAGAAACCAUUUAAACAAGUGCCUCAAAGCCAAAUAGCAGGAAGCUGCUGUGAAGCAGGAGCAAAAAAGUACUGUGUUCAAGUCUUGCCUUCGAUACAUGGUGACUUCAUGACCCCCAGCACAUCUUUUAAUUUCUCAGUGUUUCAAGCAACUUUUAAGACUAUCAAUUGAAGAACAAAUGCCUGUCUGAACUGGUAGAGGGAAUUCUCUCACUAGCAGUUCCCAAUAUAAAUAAAAACACAAGUCCCCAAACCCUGA
rnacentral:lncRNA from 1 species